rnacentral:tRNA from 1 species
GCCGAAGUGGUGAAACUGGCAGACGCACUGGAUUCAAAAUCCAGCGGGGGAGACUCCGUGUCGGUUCGAGUCCGACCUUCGGCACCA